AGAUUAAAUUUUAUUUUUUAUCAAAUUUUUCAUUAUUUUUAUUUUAUUAGUUGUAUAAAUAUAUGUUCAAAGUUUUAAAGUAUCGACGUGAUAUUAUGAGCAAUGGCAAAGUACAACAUGAAUAUCAACACGAUACGUGUACGUCGAUAAUUGAGGCGCCGAAUACAUUAAAAGGUCUGCUACCUGUGUCGUCGAUGCAGCUAACCAUCGAGCUUGCGUGCACGCGUUAAAAUCCUUGGAUAAUUUUACGUUGGAUCCGCGUUGUAAAUGACUAUAACUAUAAUCGUCACACAGUGUGAUUUUACAUAAUGGAUUAUAUCGUCCCGUAAGUAAUACGAUUUUUCAUGAAGUUGAAUUUAAAACAAUGAUAUCGAAUACCAUAGGGGUUUUAU